CUGUGCUAAUGUUUAGAGCAACGGUACAAUGUUAAAUAGGGAGCAACUCAUCCGCAAUUCUCGUUUACAAAUAACGAACAUUUGUUGAAUCGUGCGAUUAAGCCUUUCAACCAAACCUGACGAAUGAGGAUGGUAUGGCGUUGCACGUGUUUCUCAACCUGAAGUAACUACCCCCAACAGCAAGGAUUCAAAAUCACCACCUUAAUCUGAAUGGAUUGACUAGGGUAAAAAAAUGAUUAACCAAAGUCCGAGCUGUUGUUUCUGCUCAUUGGUCUGGUAACGGAAAACACUCCAACCAUUUCGUAAAGUAAUCACAUACAACUAAAACAUAUUGAUUACCCCGGUUUUUGGUGGUGGCCCAAGGAAGUUGAUACCAAUGCGCUCCAUAGCGUAUCCCGGCUACUCACGGUUGCAGCGUUGUCGCGACAAUCAAUGCAUCUGCGUUCACAUGCUGUUUCCCAGGUUAUGUUUGAUCUUAUAGCUACUGUUGUCCCCAUAAAUAGGGCUUAAAUGUUUUACAAAGUUAACCACCGCUAUAGUUCUCUUCUCUGUACGUCGCGCAGUACCUUCCUUCGUCUGUGUUUCGUUCCUCUUGGUUUGGCAAUCUGCUUGUUUGUGACCUACUUGACCACGCAGUAUUUGCAUUUUAUUUCCUGCCCUUUAUAAGUGACAUGUUAGCUCUUAUCUCUUUUGAUUCACAAAUAAUUGGUAAAUGGAUUUGUGUCCUGAUCAUCGUUUCUCAUAAUCUCUACACGGCGGCCAGUCAGAGUAGCGGCUAGCGUCUUUAUCUAUUCUUCAGUAGCGGUUAAUUGUGCUCUGGCACAGAUUUAAUGACAUAAAGAUACUAAAUUUAACACUAACGUAUAAAGAUUGAAAGCAACGCUGUAUAGCGAAAACUAGGACAGGAAUUGAAUGCAGUUUCGCUGACUACGACGUAACAUCUACGUUCCCGUCAUUCUAAUUGUGACAAUAAAACAAUUCCACUUGUGUGUAUGCCAGGCGAGACAAUUGCUACAUGCCAAUGACGCGUUUCAUUGUUUUGGUGCUAGUGUUUUUCGUUAUGUAAACCUUACAAUACCCUGCUGUCUCAUUUUAUCUUGUAA